rnacentral:rRNA from 1 species
GCCCGCCUCAGAACUCAAAGGAAGUUAGACGGGGCCCGGCACAAGACGGAGGAACGAUGUGGUUUAAUUCGAUGAUACGCGAGGAACCGUUACCUGGGCGUUAAAUGGGGAGUGACAGCUGUCGAAAGAUGGUUUUCUUUCGGACACUCUUCAAGGUGCUGCAUGGUUGUCGUCAGCUCGUGCCGUGAGGUGUCGGGUUAAGUCCCAUAACGAGCGCAACCCUUACCGUUAGUUACCAUCAGGUUAAGCUGGGGACUCUAGCGGGACUGCCACCGUAAGGUGAGAGGAAGGUGGGGAUGACGUCAAAUCAGCACGGCCCUUAUGUCCAGGGCUACACACGUGUUACAAUGGCCGGUACAAAGGGCAGCUACUUCGCGAGAAGAUGCUAAUCUCGAAAGCCGGUCUCAGUUCGGAUCGAAGUCUGCAACCCGACUUCGUGAAGCUGGAUUCGCUAGUAAUCGCGCAUCAGCCAUGGCGCGGUGAAUACGUUCCCGGGCCUU